AUUACUUUGGCAGAAAAGUGUAAUAAAUUUAGAAUUUAUUUAUGUAAAUAAUAUUUACAAGUAAUA
rnacentral:tRNA from 1 species